rnacentral:tRNA from 1 species
UGGGGAUUUAGCUCACUGGUAGAGCACUUGCCUAGUGUGUAUGAGGCCCUGGUUCAAUCCCUAGUACUUAA